AAUAGAUACCCGGGUAGUCCACGCCGUAAACGAUGAGUGCUAAGUGUUAGGGGGUUUCCGCCCUUAGUGCUGCAGCUAACGCAUUAAGCACUCCGCCUGGGGAGUACGGUCGCAAGACUGAAACUCAAAGGAAUUGACGGGGGCCCGCACAAGCGGUGGAGCAUGUGGUUUAAUUCGAAGCAACGCGAAGAACCUUACCAGGUCUUGACAUCCCAUUGACCGCUAUGGAGACAUAGCUUUCCCUUCGGGGACAGUGGUGACAGGUGGUGCAUGGUUGUCGUCAGCUCGUGUCGUGAGAUGUUGGGUUAAGUCCCGCAACGAGCGCAACCCUUGUUCUUAGUUGCCAUCAUUUAGUUGGGCACUCUAAGGAGACUGCCGGUGACAAACCGGAGGAAGGUGGGGAUGACGUCAAAUCAUCAUGCCCCUUAUGACCUGGGCUACACACGUGCUACAAUGGACGGUACAAACGGUUGCCAACCCGCGAGGGGGAGCUAAUCCGAUAAAACCGUUCUCAGUUCGGAUUGUAGGCUGCAACUCGCCUAC
rnacentral:rRNA from 1 species